AGAAAAACAAGGUUUACUGAGACCAGGAGUUGACAAACCAGUCCAGCCACAGAUGCCGGGACUCAGCCACAGCAGUUCACUCGUACAGUGUCUACAACUGCUUUCAUGUUGCCACAGAAGCGCCUUUCCCCUGGAUAAGCAGCAACCCCCAAAGCAGCAGGAGACAGUGGCCAGAACCUGAAAAGUGGUCACAUGGUCUGGAUAGCACGGCAGGCUAAUGGUAACAUCUUGACCUAAUUGAUGUUUCAGUUCUGAGCCCUAAGGGGAUGACCCCCUGACUACUUUAGCAGGAGACCAGACAGAGGGACAAGCAGAAAGGACCUCACAGAGGUGUCCUCAAGACCUGAAGAAACAAUUCAUCGCCUUCCCUCGCCUCUGACACUCAGCUUCCAGCACACGCCCUAAACCACAGUGUCUUACGAUUUUGCCCCAUAUAAUCUGUAACCUACACACCUUUGGGGAGUCAGGUUUUUAACUUUAGCUCCCUGCCUCUGGGUUAGCCAAUGCAAUAUUAAAACUUUCUAUGCUGGGAA